rnacentral:rRNA from 1 species
GACAGAGGGUGCAAACGUUGUUCGGAAUUACUGGGCGUAAAGCGUGCGCAGGCGGCCUUGCAAGUCGGGCGUGAAAUCCCACGGCUCAACCGUGGAAGUGCACUCGAAACUGCUUGGCUAGAGUCUUGGAGAGGAAGGCGGAAUGCUUGGUGUAGAGGUGAAAUUCGUAGAUAUCAAGCGGAACACCGGUGGCGAAGGCGGCCUCUGGACAAUGACUGACGCUAAAACACGAAAGCUAGGGGAGCAAACAGG